rnacentral:rRNA from 1 species
UACAGAGGGGGCAAGCGUUAUUCGGAAUUAUUGGGCGUAAAGGGCGCGUAGGCGGCCAUUCAAGUGACGGGUGAAAGCCCUCGGCUUAACCGAGGAACUGCCUGUCAGACUGGGUGGCUCGAGACCGGGAGAGGUGAGUGGAAUUCCUGGUGUAGCGGUGAAAUGCGCAGAUAUCAGGAGGAACACCGAUGGCGAAGGCAGCUCGCUGGGACGGUACUGACGCUGAGGCGCGAAAGCGUGGGGAGCAAACAGG